UUCCAGUGUAGAAGAGCCAAUGAACGGGUCUCUUGGUCUCAACAUCCUCGUAAUACCAGAUGAAAUCGACCUUCUCCCAGACAUUACAGAGGAAGCCAUCGACAUGGCGUUGACCCAGAUAUUUGGCUCCGUCGAGCCAAUUGGGUCGUAGAAUACCAACCUCAAGCUGAGCGGAAGAGCAAGUCUUAGAAGAGUCCAAAGUGUAGAAGAAGGAAGUGCCGUUGUUCCAUUCGAGGUCGUAGAGAACGUUGCCGAGCUGGUGUUGGAUGAUGUUGAAGUUGCGACCAUUAGGCCAGUCGUACCAG
rnacentral:misc_RNA from 1 species